UCACCUCCACCCAUUUCCCCUACUGCCUUAUCUGCUCGCCACCGAAUUCGAAGGAGAGGUGGCCGGCGUUGGGCAUGCGGGGACAAAGGCGAACGCCGUCCAGCAGUCAGAGCGAUGCGCGGGUGGCGCGCGAGUGCAGUGGUGAGGCUGCGGAAGGGCGGCGACCGACAACACCAGGCUGCGGCCCUGCGGAGGGGGGGGCGUCCGGCGGGUACCAGGCUGCAGCCCUUGCGGGUGGGAGAGUGCGUCCAAUGCGUGCCGGUGUAGAAGCCUCGAUGUCAUCCUUUUCUAAUGGGCUCGCUAGAUGGAGGUCCGGUCACGGGAGCGACGCGGAUUGCGCACGGGCGCGGAGGCGAUGGCCAUGGCUUCUCUGUUUUGAUUCGUUGCCGCGUCGUGGAUGAGGCCAUCAAAGAACCAUUAAGGGAGGCGAAGGGCGAAGAGGAGCCUGCAACACAUGUGCUGGUAGUGGUGGAGGAAGCCCCAACAUCGGUGGCCAUCUGCUUUGUUUUUAUCGUCGCGUCGGCGGAUGAGGGUGUCGAGGUGCAACUUCGGGAGGCAGAGGUCGACGAGGAGCCGCUGAUGCAGGUGUUCUACUAGCAGAGGAGGCCUUCGCGCAACUCGUCUAGCCGCCGUAGCCCCACCAAUGCGUCUGCUCGCUGCCGCCACUGUCCCUCGACAAAUCUAGCAACCUACAUCGGCGCGAGGUAUGGGUCGUCAUUUUUCCUCCUCGUGUAUUGAUACAUUAUAAUUUUUGGGUUCACUUUCAUGCACAUUAGAGACGGGCGACCUGAAUUUAGUGAUGGAGCAGCCUUUUUUAUAAAUCUCGGGGUAGUUGUAGGGCCGUGAUGUGGUUGCCACACGCGAGCUGCAGUAGUAGGGGGCGUGGUCUUGGAGUUUGCUGGAAGGCUCGAAUUCAUCUUGCAGAUUGUUCUUUGAAUAGGACCAAUAGCAAAGAGUGGGGAGUGAACAACUAGCAUGAUAAGGCAUUAUCUAUAGAAGUAACAACAAUUAGUCUAUAAGGGUCAUUAUUGACAUGAAUGGCAAAAUAAAUUGCUUUGCAUGAUGAUGAAUUUUUUAACAUCGAAACUUCUACCACUCUUUUCACCAUGGCAAAUGGAAAGGCAGCACAUGAUGGCAACUCUAGUUUCCUUGUUAUUCAUUUUCAGAGUUCAUUUUUCCAUGUCACCAUGUUCUACUUUUGCUUCCCUUUUAGUGUCGAUUUUCUUCUGCUGGUCCACGCUAGCUUUUGUUAGUAAAUAGUUGGCAUGGUAGAACUGCUAUGAAUUUGUUAUGAAUUUUGAUAUAUCAUGGCAAUUUCUUUACUAAAUAGUUACCAUGAUAGCUUCUGUUUAGUAAAUAGUUGCCAUGGAAAAGUGCUAUUCGUUCUUUUACAGAUUUUUUGCCAUGUCAAUCCACUAUGUUGUCUAAAUUUGCCAUGUAUUAGAGAUCUCUAAUUAAAUAUCUCUAAAAUUGCCAUGACGAAUGAUCUUUAGAUCAUACCAUUUUUUCUACAUUUCUCAUGAAUUAGACAUCGUUUAAUUUCACAUACCAUGGCAAACCAUUAUGAAUUAGAGAUCAUUUGCCAUGGUAAAUUAUCAUCAAUUGAUGAAUUGUCAUCAAUUGAUAUGGCAGAUUUACAAUCUUUAAUACCGACCAUCUUUCUUUUUUGUAAAUACUCCCUCCGUUCCUAAAUGUAAGUCAUUUUAGACAUUUCAAAUGGAGUACAAGAUACGGAUGUAUGUAGACAUAUUUUAGAGUGUAGAUUCACUCAUUUUGCUCCGUAUGUAGUCACUUGUUGGAAUAUCUAAAAAGACUUAUAUUUGGGAACGGAGGGAGUAGUUGCCAUGGCAAAUUUUGAUAUGAAUAUGUUAUGAAUUUUCAUAGACCGUGGCCUUAUUCAUUUCCAAAGAUCAUUUUGCCAUGUCGCCAUGUUUUACUUCUGCUUCCAUUUUAGUGUCAAUUUUUUGCUGUUGGUCCAUGAUAGCUUUUGUUAGUAAAUAGUUGCCAUGGCAGAACUACUAUGAAUUUUAAUAUACCAUGGCAAUUUAUUUAGUAAAUAGUUGCCAUGAAGCUUUUGUUUAGUAAAUAGUUGUCAUGGCAAAUAGCUGUUCAUUCUUCUACAAAUCGUUUUUGCCAUGUCAAUCCACUAUGUUGUGUAAAUUUGCCAUCUGUUAGAGAUCUUUAAUUACAUAUAUCUAAAAUUGCCAUGACAAAUUAUCUUUAAUUCAUACCAUUUUUUCUACAUUUCUCAUGCAAUAGGCAUUGUUUAAUUUCAUAUACCAUGGCAAAUCAUGAUGAAUUAGAGAUCAUUUGCCAUGGUAUAUCAAUUGACAUGAAAAAUUUACAGUCAUUAAUACAUAUCAUCUUUAUUUUUAGUAAGUAGUUGCCAUGGCAAAUUUUGAUAUGAAUAUGCUAUGAAUUUUCGUACAUCAUGGCAAAUUGUGUAUUCAUUUACAGAGAUUGUUUUGCCAUGUCACCAUGUUCUACUUUGCUUCCUUUUAGUGCUGAUUUUUGUUGCUGGUCCAUGAUAGCUUUUGUUAGUAAAUAGUUGCCAUGGCAAAACUGCUAUGAAUUUUGAUAUACCAUGGCAAUUUCUUUAGUAAAUAGUUGCCAUGAUAGCUUUGUUUUAGUAAAUAGUUGCCAUGGCUAAUUGCUAUCAUUAUUUUACAUAUCAUUUUUUUUCAUGCCAAUCCACUAUGUUGUCUUAAUUUGCCGUGUAUUAGAGAUUUUUAGUUACAUAUAUGUAAAAUUUCCGUGACAAAUGAUCUUUAAUUCAUACCAUUUUUUCUACAUUUCUCGUGAAUUAGACAUCGUUUAAUUUCAUAUAUACCAUGGCAAAUCAUUAUGAAUUAGAGAUCAUUUGCCAUGGAAAAUUGUCAUCAUUUGACAUGGAAAAUUUACAAUCUUUAAUACCUAUCAUCUUUCUUUUUAGUAAAUAGUUGCCAUGGAAAAAUCGAAUAUGAAUAUGCUAUGAAUUUUCAUAUACCAUGGGAAAUUGUUAUUCAUUUUCAAGGAUCGUUUUGCCAUGCCAAUGCACCAUGCGCUCUAAAUUUUCUCAGGGUUUUUUUGUAUGGCAAUUUGCAUGUGUGUGAGUUGCCCACUCAUUUUUGUCAUUUGAUGUAGAACAAUCAAUUUUUCUUUUACGAACUUUACCAUGUGAAGGUCACGGUUACUUUCUGAUCUUCCAUCGAUGAUUCAUAUCAUUUGGCCAGUCUCCAAAUUUUUUCUAUGGCUAAUUUCGUUGUUCAUUAAAUCUGAUGUUUAAAUCCAUUUAUACAUUAACGGCAAUUUUUUUGUAACAUACAUCGGCAAAUACUUUUAUUCAAAAUGGCAUGGCAACUCUUUUUAUUUGUAUGUCAAUUGCAAACAAUUCUUUGCUCUUGCAACAUGGCAAAACAAAUUACUUUUUAUGAGAUCAUGGCAAUUUAAGUACAUCGAGCAUGGCAUUUGUAGUUUAUGUAUAAUGGCAAAUUAUUUUUCUUUUGCAACAAUGGCAAAACAUUACUUUUCUAAUGGGAACAUGGCAACUGAAGUUCACGAAGCAUGGAAAAUAUAGUUUAUGUGGCAUGUCAAAUUCAAUUCUUUUUGUAACAAUGGCAACAAAUUACUUUUCUUGCCAGGACAAUGGCAACUUAAUUGCAUGGAGCAUGGCAAAAUGUAGUUUAUGGGCCGCAACAUUUUUUUAAUAUAUGAAUACAUUCCUGGCAAUUUUCUUACACAAAGCAUGACAAUUAUAACUAAAACACCAUGGCAAAUAUUAAUAUGCAUAUGUCAUGGCAAAUUUUUGUUCAUACUUUGAGAUAUUUUACAUAAACAGCAAAUUUAUCAUAAAACAUGGUAAAUUUAAUUAAAAUACGAUGGCAAGUUUUCAAUGUCAACCUGCCAUGGCAAAUUUGUGUUCAUAUGUUUGUGCUUUGUUCAUUCUAAUUUUCCAUGUUUUUUUUGGCCAUGCUAUUUUCCGAACAUAAACUUUUGCCAUGUCAAUUAUGGGAAAUUGCCAUGUGAGCAUUAUCAGAGAUGUUGUGACAAUAGUUUUGCCACCUUUUUUUAGAAAUCAAAUUGCUCUAAAAGUUGUCAUUGUAAAAAAAAACAUCAUAGCAAAUCGUAAAGUAGUUUGAUCAACUCGAAUGGCAAUUUUUUAGGAAAUUUUCAAUUGUAUAUAAAAAUCAUGGUAUUUUUUUUAGUAAAAUGGGUCUAAUAUAGUCACGUGGCUAAAAACAUAAAUUUUAUGUUAUUUUAUUUUUAUGUCUCACCGAUGGCAAUUUUCCCUUGUAUACGUCAUGGGAAAUUUGGUUUCUUUUUUGUUUAGCUAUUUACAAAAUGAAGUCUAAACACAAGUUUUUAACCCUUGUCUAAAAAAACUGGGCUUUUUUUGGCCCAACUAGAGGUUCGAUCAGGGGAGGGGUGUUAGAGUGGUUAGCGUGGGGGCCUGCGAGCGAAGGAAUAGUUCGUUCUACUCCCUCCCGAGAUCGAACGUUUUCGUUCAGCACGGAGAUCAUUCCUUGGGGAACGAUUAGUUCAUUUUGGAACCUGCCUUGAUCGAACGCCACGUAGAUAUCGGGGUUCUAGAUUGAUACAUGUUCAAAAUAAUAUUACUAUUUUCAUACAUAUUACUAAAAAUAUAUUGAAUUUCAUAAAAGAAUGUAUUCCUCUUAUUUGUUUGGAUUGGGGUAGGAAAGGCUGGUCUAGAUAGACUAAGGGGUUUCUCCAAAUGUGGAUGGAAAUGGUGGCUCUUUUACUAAAAAUGUCAUGAUUUACCUCUCGGAGGAAGUCUAGCAAAGUCUACAUAAGUGUUCUCGGCUUGCAUACUUUUUGAAGGUCUUGAGCCUCCAAAUUUGGAGGCUGGGUGCGCUGAUAUGAAGCAAGCUCCAAACCAAAUUUGGAGCCUAGGUCUUUCCUGUUGGUUAUACCUAGCAAUGACGAUAUUUUUAAGUCGUCACCUUGUUGAAGGCGUUCCUCGGAUAUGCUCAGACUGGUUUUUUAGGGUGAAAAUCUAGAUUCUGGUCAUGGGUGGCUGGAUCUGGUGACGUCGGCACUUGAGCGUCGAUCCCUUCCUGAAGGCGCGAAAAACUUCAUCAAGCGUGUGAUGUCAUGAGAUGGUUGAUGCGGAUAUGGUCAUUGUUGUAGUUUGUCGACAGCAGAGCCAAUCGCUUAGGAUUUCUCUUUUUUCUUCACAUAAGCAUAGUUUUGGUCUUAUAUGACUUUGCUAUUUGCUGGCGUGUUCUUAUGUACGUGCGCUGGUGUUGGCUGUGUGCAUCCUAGCUAUGCAGAAGCCGUGUGUGCUCACUGAAAAAAAUUGCUAUUGAAAAUUGUUUGUUUUCUGUCUUUUUUUAUUAGCACAUAGUACUAUGCAGUAUCUUUGUACAAUUUUUGGUAGUAUUUUUUCUACAAUCACAAAAUGUGGCACAUUCACGCUUCAAUUUUUAUUGUUUUGAGAUACAUGCAUCUUGUCAACGGGGAACCGGAAGCGGCUACUUGGGGAAAAUCCACGUUCGGCCAAACGACGAAUUUUUGGGGACAUAUCACAUACGUGACACUUCCACCUUCUUUGCUUACUAUAGCGGUACGUAGACCGUCGUUCCAAGGCAUAUAUACACUUCAGGUCAUGCGCAGUCAGUCAGAAUUGCUAACAAUGUUUUCCACCUAGAAUCACAUGCAUAUUGCUUCUGCUUGUCAAGUCCUCUUUCCGCUUUGCACUACAAGAGUUGCAUUCUUCAUUUCCGCGCCAUUCCUAGCCUCGCCUCACCUCACCAACCGCACGAGCACGAGCACAUGAUUUCAUGGCAGAUGUCUGAUUUAGUCGUCGAAUCCUGACGGAGGCAAGCAUGGGGGAGCCUAGGGAGCAGUGGUGGAGGACAUCGAUGCAGCUCAACACGGACCAAUGCUUUCUCUGUUUCCUCUCGUGCACCAAUAGUUUAGAUACAUACAUGCAUGUUCCUCCUUGUGUUUAGUGUAACAUGUUUCCCUACUCCACUCUACGGUUAAUGCUGGCUAGGCCUGAGAGUCAACUCGUAGCAAGCUAGGCACACAAAUGACCAUCAAAUUAACGGAGUGGUUGACCACAGAGUUGCAUACAGAGCAAGUGUGGAGUUCACAAGGUUAGUAAGGGCUCCAACCCAAUCAGUGAUAGAAACCAUCUCAGUUUUCCAUGAACCGUAUCUGUGGUACUAGAAACCAUUGAUCGGCCUAAUCAUGGGUUUUCGGCUCGGUUUUCCUUAUAAACCGGCCAUUUUGUGAGGUUUUCGAUCCGGUUUCCUUUAUAAACUGGAUCAACUCUCUUCUUCUAUAAUGCAAUGCCAGAGCUCCUGGCCCUCUGACGAGAUUCCGUCAAAAAAAAAAGGGCUGGCCACCACUCUCAGGCCAUGUCGCAACAUUCCAACACAAAUCCAUACCUAGUUAUCCAUUGCAGCGUGCUGCUGGUGGCUGUCUGCGCAUGCUAAGCCUGAUGGGCAAGUGCGAGCUAACUGGUGGUGGUGAGUGAGAGCCAUGGCAUGGUUGUCCAUGCAAUGAUACAGAUCAAGGCCGGCCGGGCAUGGCCUCUGGCCAUGGCACUUGAUCAGAGUGCCGUGCUGCAUAAUGGACAAAGAUAGGGCCAAAUGACCAGCUGAAGGGCAUGGACUGCAGCUUGUUGUAUGCAUGCAUAUAGCCUCUCGGGAGCUGGAAAGAGACGCAGUUUACCAGUUUCGAGUGUAAUCGAGUCAAACGAACGAGUCGACGACUGGAAGAUGGGAUCCGAAAUCUCAAUUGACCAACUUGGGUACACCAAACUCAUGUAGAGUUGAGUCUUGUACUCCUGUAGAUGGAGGUUACAGACUUAUACUGAACGAGUUCGAUGAAUGUGUCUUAUAUGCCCUUCGCCUUGUUCUUCCUUUAGACGACACGGAAUAUUCUGAAGGGGAGAAGACGUCUAGUAAGAGUGGAGUAACCUAUUCAUUCGAAGUAUACACGCACACGCACGCACAACAUAGAUGGACCACAGUUUUUUUUGUUUGUAAAAACACAAGUUACAACAUUGACGGGCCAGCAUAGAUUAGGAUCACACCGUACGUACGUACUACCACCCUCGCCCAAACGCCGGACGGUCAAAGACAGCAUGAAUCGGCCGGAUUAUAGGCCCAGAAGCUGUCCUGCAUGCACGCAUGCAGGCAGGCAGGCUCGAUUAGCUAGCCUGUGGAGAAGAAAAGUCUCCUCAAAGUUGUAACAUCUACUGUAAUUAGGUCCACUCGUCUACUACCUCACUUUAGCUUCAGAAACUUAAGCAGCAGCCGCGUCCGAUCAUCGGCUACGGCACCUACUCAUCAGACCACGACGCCGCCAUCACAAGAACUCGUUGCAUUCAGAGGCUACCUAGUACCUACCUGCAUAGGCACUGCGUGCACACAGGCUUGAUUUCAUUCUUUACCAUGCAGCUGUCCAUCCUUUCUACUAGCAGCUAUAGCUACGUACUCCAGUUUCUACCAGUGUUUUGCAGAGACUUUGCAGUGCCUAAGCUUGGCAUGCCUCGCCUUGAUGAGCGCUUUGAGGAACAGAAUCAUGGUGUUUGAGCUUACUCGACGUGGCCGGAGAGGAGAGGCGCCGCUCUCGAGGAGACGCUAAUCAUGCUACGCCACGGGCCUACUUACCUUGUACUGUACGUACGUACACUACACGUAGCUGGUUAGUUGUUGAUAAUGUGCGAUCGUACGUGUAAAGGCUGGUCCUAAAGCGGGAUCUUUUCUUCCCCGCCUGCGUUUUUAAGCAGCAGCAGCAGAGGUGCAGAGUGUUUUUAUCGCUUUUGAGGUCCAUUCUGCGCGGGCCCGUCCAUGGAUACCGGUCACAUGGAUCGUGGAUGCUGCAUCGCAGCGAGCAAUCCUGCCGCCUGGAGCUGGACGAUGGAGCGCUGGAAAGUUGUGGGUGCGGCUGCUUGGGCUUGGCCGGCGCCCAUGGGGCUCGGUCGACCGUUCGAUGGCCGCAGGUUCGUCUGGAAUGUUUGCCUCGAGAGAUAUGAUGAAGCGGUUGAACGAACGACUGAGAGAAGGAACCUGGGUCUCAGUAGCUCCUGUGGCGACAUUGCACGCUUCGGCUUGGUUCUUCAGGGUGUUUUAUCUCGGCCCCGCCGCGUUCAGCUUGUGUCGGCCAAACUAGUGUUUUGGCCAAUCGAUCAAGUGCAUUUGCCUCACGAGGUGACCUUGGCGACACCUUAUCUUAUUCUAGGAUUCUGGUGGAUUUUGGCCCAGUGGAAUGCCUGAUGAAGUUGCAGCCUGUCUCGUAAGCAUUUCGUGCUGGCCCCGACUUGUUUCCGGUUUCAGAUGUUUAGCCGAAAAAAGAACGACAUGUUCAGAUGAGGUGCAUCAAAAGCCAUACCAUUCCGUUUCAAAAGGAAGCAUGAUAGAGUUCCGGCCAGUUAAAAAAAAACUACUUCCUCCAUUCCAUAAUGUAAGACGUAUUUAUGUUAUGUCGACGCUGUACCAACGGGUAUUGCGUUGGAAUUCUUCUCAAACAACCAUCAUUUUGGGAACAAUUUCCUCGGAGCUAGUAGAGGGUGUUGAAAAUCAGUUAGGCAUAACUGCCUACACCCACCAGGACAAUCUCAGUUCAUCAGUUCCAUGCUCCGGAUCAAGGGUUCAGACUCGAAUAGGGGGCUGCCAACGAGGAAGAACUCUACGGGCGUGCGUCGUGCCCACUCCAUGUUCCACGCAUGCAAGCGUGGCAUGGUUGAUUCUUGGAUAAAAAAUAAUUCAGAAAACCCUUGUGGUGAGAUGCUAAGAGACGUUAGAAACGAAGAGUAUACAAAGGUGUGUGAACGUUGAUGGAGGUGCAGCUCUCCCUGCUGUGCUGCAUGCCAUCUUGUAUACCGAGGCAAAGCCGUGAUCCGCACUUGGCCUGGCUACGGCGUCCGUGUUGUCUCACCAUUUGGCACUGCCGCCUCCUCUCUCGAUACCAUGCCUCCAAUUAAACCUUGUUGAAAGGUUGAUGAUGGUCAACCUUUCACACGAAUCAGACACAUUCUGUUGGAAGUCGACUGUCUUCACAGUCAAAUCCAUGCAUACAGACCUCAUCAAUGAUGGGCAACAUUUUCACUACAAAUUUAUAUGAAAAAUGAAAGUCCCAUUGAAAAUAAAAUUCUUCAUGUGGUACUCGGAUCGCAAGGUCAUCCUAACAAAAGAUAAUCUGAUAAAAAGAGAUUGGCAAGGAUGCACCAAGUGUUGCUUUUGUGGCGAUGAGGAGUUGAUUGAGCAUCUAUUCCUUCAAUGCCCACUUGCCAAGCUACUAUGGCAAACGAUCCAUAUAGCUUUCAAUCUACCUCCACCGACGAGUAGUACAAAUAUGUUUGGAAACUGGUUAGUGGGGAUGCACCCUAAGUUGAAGUCUCGGAUUCGUGUGGGAAUUUGUGCUUUACUUUGGGCCGUUUGGAACACUCAUAAUGAUUGUAUUUUUAACAGAACGAAAGUUUCAAAUUUUUUGCAGGUUAUCUUCAAGGCCAGCAGCUGGAUCCAUACGUGGUCAUUACUACAUAAGGAGGAGGAUCGGGCGCCUACGGUCUUUGGGUGCAACCGAUGAGAAAUGGUCCCUCAGGAUUUGUUUAGCCGAUUUGGCUGGCGGCCUACUAGGAGGAUUUGUGAUGCAUGAGACCCAUUUUCCUACGAUAUUCUAUUUUUUUUAAUUUGCCCUUAGGGCAGUCAUGUGCGACAAAUUAUUGGUUGAACUUUGUUAUGGUCGGAUGAUGAACUUUGAUAUGAUAAAUAAAAGGUUGUGCUCGAUGCAGAGGUCGAGG
rnacentral:lncRNA from 1 species